AGCAAGCAGGAGCCUCAUAAAUGGGGAGAGAGGAGAGAGUGUCGGCAGGUUCCCCCGCCCUGGCUUUGCUGUUAUUUGUUACAGGAUCUCGGCGGAGUGCCGCGAGUUGCAGAGGAAAGUUUGGAAGCAGAGGGCCGAGGAACACCGUCUUUGGGGAAAGCGAGAGUGGAGACGUGACGUCUAGUGGGGAUCCCUCGACAAUCAGCUGACUGAAGGCUGACUCAGGACAACGUAAACCAGCCGUGACUACAGUGGAGCCGUAACUGGUGUGGACGUACACCUCCUUUCGCGCAACUGCCAGGGAGGAGAGAAGUGUGGAGCUUUCCUCCCUCAACGAGCUAAGUGGCCCUUCCUUGCCCUGUUAGUUUUAGAUUAAGCAAGACUGUGCUUGAGUGUUCAUGUUCCACGAGUGACAGCGUCCAGGGGAAUCAGUGCGGGCCUUCUCCCUCCGGUGUCGAGAGCUCUUCCAGCGGCUGAAAGACCGAGACCCUGAUGUCUUCUCUGAGGCAGGGCAGGUGCUAAGAGAUCAAUUUACCAUGGGCCUACAGGAUACCGAACUUCGUAGAGAAUUGAACCGCAUGAUUCGUAGGAAUGAGGUAACCACAUUCGAACAGGCUCGUCAGGAAGCUCUUCACGUAGAAGGUGAUCGACAGAGCAACAUAUGGCAACCCCCAACAUGUGCAGCAGUACGUGGAGGGGAACCACCUCGUACAGCUGAUCCUCGGAGUGAUUGGAAAACAGAACUGAAGACUGAACUCCUAUCGGAAAUGCGCGUGCAGAUGAAGGAGAUGCAGAGAGCCCUGCGGGAAGAACUUCAAUCGUCCAGCAGCCAUUCCCGAGACCCUGCUUUACAAACACAACAUUAUCCCCAAACCACCUCUGGUCGGACCAGGGAUCCCCAGACAGGAGAUGGCGGAGGAAGUAGCGGUGCGUGUGGUCACCUACCGGCCCCCCGACAAUGAAACACCCUCACACUCCGUGGAACAGGAAGUGCAGGCCGAAGAGUGGGGCUGGAGGCCUCAAAGAUGGAUUAAUCUGCAAAGCACUGACCCCAACCUGGCUAGGCUGAGACUACUCCUAAGUACCGGUACUAAACCCCCUGGACAAGCCUGUAAGAAGGAGCCAGCUGAAGUUCGAGAUUUAUUACAACAGUGGCCACGCCUGAGCUUGCUAGACGGUGUUCUGGUUCGUAGGAUGCGGGACUCUAAUACACAAGAACUUUAUCAGCAGAUCGUGGUGCCCCUUUCGGAGAGACAGUCGGUGUGGGAAACACUGCACACGAGUGCUGGGCACCUUGGGACCGAAAGGACUCUUUAUGCCCUACGAAGGAGAUUCUACUGGCCCCGAAUGGGAAGAUGCAGUCAAAAGUGGGUGGCCGCCUGUGAACGCUGCUCCAUAAGGAAAGCUCGCACCGAGAGAAGGGCUCCGCUGGUCCCCAUUGUGACAUCUGCUCCCCUGGAAGUUCUAGUGCAAGGCACAUGGGUGAACCAAGAACCAGUGAGUGUAGAAGAUUGGGUCCAAAGGCACCAUCAGCGUUUGGUAGGUGCUUAUCAAAAAGGUUCAACACAUGCUGCACAAGCAGCUGCACGGCAAGGAAAAUAUCAAAAAGGUACGCAGUUAGGUCCCUUGGUUCCAGGAGAACGUGUUCUGAUAAGAACCUUUAGACGGGGUAAUGGGGGUAAAUUAGCUGACCGUUGGGAGUCCAUGCCCCAUUUUGUAGUACAGCAGUUGCCCUCAGGGAUUCCUGUGUAUAGAUUAAGGCCGGAAGGGAAGGAAGGGCCCAUUCGCACUAUUCAUCGGAAUCGUCUGAGGCCAUGCCUCUUUCACCCAAAGCCAACCCCAGCAGCUGAGAUGUACCUGGCACAAACACCCGUUCCUGAUGAGCCGUGGCCCUUUUGGGCCAUUGAACCUGCACAACACUCUGGGGUGGGUCAUCAUUCUGUGGAAAUGGGAGGACUGGGGGGACGAGAAGUAGAUUUAGGAGAAGAUGCCAUUACAACUGCAGGGACACUCCGUAGGUCAACGCGAACACAUUUGGGAAAUCCUCCAGUUAGGUAUAGAUAAAGCAACAUUAAACAGGACAUGUAGUCACGAGGACGUGACUGUGAUCUAACAGGGAGGGGUGUCACGGGGGUACGUGGGAGUAAAGAGCAGGUUGCGGUAGGAACUGUAUGUGAGGGAAGCAUAGGUGAGGGAAGCAAUGGGGUGCUGCACUAGACCAGCAAUUUGUCUACCAAUCCUGCAUUAAUUAUCCCUCAAUCAGUCAAUUCAAUUCAGCUGGUUUAUUUAGCCAUAGCAAGCAGGAGCCUCAUAAAUGGGGAGAGAGGAGAGAGUGUCGGGAGGUUCCCCCGCCCUGGCUUUGCUGUUAUUUGUUACAGGAUCUCGGCGGAGUGCCGCGAGUUGCAGAGGAAAGUUUGGAAGCAGAGGGCCGAGGAACACCGUCUUUGGGGAAAGCGAGAGUGGAGACGUGACGUCUAGUGGGGAUCCCUCGACAAUCAGCUGACUGAAGGCUGACUCAGGACAACGUAAACCAGCCGUGACUACAGUGGAGCCGUAACUGGUGUGGACGUACACCUCCUUUCGCGCAACUGCCAGGGAGGAGAGAAGUGUGGAGCUUUCCUCCCUCAACGAGCUAAGUGGCCCUUCCUUGCCCUGUUAGUUUUAGAUUAAGCAAGACUGUGCUUGAGUGUUCAUGUUCCACGAGUGGUGAGCAGUGUAUAGCGCCGCUAGCGUAGAAAAGCAGUAGCCUGCUAAUGACUGUAUGUAUGUUGGUUGCCUGUGUUAUUGAGCCUCCACAUUCACAGUAGGCCUAUAGGCCAUCUACAAGUGGCUGCCUACCUGACGGUGUGUGUGUGUGCGUGCGUGUGUAUGUGUACUUCCUAGUGAAGCCCAGCAGAGAC
ensembl:lncRNA